rnacentral:rRNA from 1 species
AUUGAACGUUGGCGGCAUGCCUUACACAUGCAAGUCGAACGGUAACGGGCCUUCGGGUGCCGACGAGUGGCGAACGGGUGAGUAAUGCAUCGGAACGUGCCCAGUGGUGGGGGAUAGCCCGGCGAAAGCCGGAUUAAUACCGCAUACGACCUACGGGUGAAAGCGGGGGACUCGCAAGGGCCUCGCGCCAUUGGAGCGGCCGAUGUCAGAUUAGGUAGUUGGUGGGGUAAAGGCCUACCAAGCCGACGAUCUGUAGCUGGUCUGAGAGGACGACCAGCCACACUGGGACUGAGACACGGCCCAGACUCCUACGGGAGGCAGUAGUGGGGAAUUUUGGACAAUGGGCGCAAGCCUGAUCCAGCCAUGCCGCGUGCGGGAAGAAGGCCUUCGGGUUGUAAACCGCUUUUGUCAGGGAAGAAAUCCUGCGGGCUAAUAUCCUGCGGGGAUGACGGUACCUGAAGAAUAAGCACCGGCUAACUACGUGCCAGCCGCCGCCGUAA